rnacentral:misc_RNA from 1 species
UGGCUCUGGCAUCGAUGAAGAACGCAGCGAAAUGCGAUAAGUAAUGUGAAUUGCAGAAUUCAGUGAAUCAUCGAAUCUUUGAACGCACAUUGCGCCCCUUGGUAUUCCGGGGGGCAUGCCUGUUCGAGCGUCAUUAUCACCCCUCAAGCUCAGCUUGGUGUUGGGGCCUGCUGUAAAAGGCAGCCCUUAAAGUCAGUGGCGGUGCUGUCAGGCUCUAAGCGUAGUAACACAUCUCGCUACAGGGUCCUGGUGGUGUCCAGCCAAAACCCCACACUUUUUUAAUGAUUGACCUCGGAUCAGGUAGGGAUACCCGCUGA